UUUUUUUUUUGGUGUACAGUAUCAAGAGUGCAUGUACUUUCAGUCCAAGGUUGUAGGAAACAUCAGCUGACCCAGGUAGAGAGGCUAGGACUCUUUACCUACUUCCUUUGUAGAAGCCAAAGCAUCACCUUCAGGAGUUGAUGAGCCUUACUGACUUGGCUUUCGGUUGAUUUACUUCCGUCAUAAUUACGUUUCCUCUUUCCAAGGGAAACAAAACCUUGAUAUCAGAGGAAGAAAAAUCGCUAUUGGCACUACUUCUAUACUUAUUUGUUUUUUGUUUGUUUGUUUGUUUGUUUGUUUGUUUUUAUCGUUUUGCCUUUUCUAGGGCUGCUUCCUGCGGCAUAUGGAGGUUCCCAGGCUAGGGGUCAAAUCCGAGCUAUAGCCGCAGGCCUACACCAGAGCCACAGAAUGCGGGAUCCAAGCCGCGUCGCAGCCUACACCACAGCUCACGGCUCACGGCCCACAGCUCACGGCUCACAGAACCCGCCACCUCAUGGUUCCUAGUCGGUUUCAUUAACCACUGUGCCACGACAGGAACUCCUAUACUUCUUUUUUUAAAAAAACUUAUAGGUUUUUAUUUUUUCUAUUAUAGAUGAUUUACAUUUUUCCAUCAACUUCUGCUGUACAGCAAAGUGACCCAGUCAUACAUAUACAUAUACAUUCUUUUUCUCACAUUAUCCUCCAUCAUGUUCCAUCACAAGUGACUAGAUGGAGUUUCCUGUGCUAUACAGAAGAUUCUCACAGCUUACCCAUUCCAAAUGCAAUAGUUUGCAUCUACUAACCCAAACUCCCAGUCCAUCCCAUUCCCACCCCCUCCCCCUGGGCAACCACAAGUCUGUUCUCCAAGUCCAUAGGUUUUCUUUUUUUCUAUAGAAAGAUUCAUCUGUGCCAUAUAUUAGAUUUCAGAUAUGUAAUAUCAUGUGGUGUUUGUCUUUCUCUUUUUGACUUCACUUAGUAUGAGAGUCUCUAGUUCCAUCCAUGUUGCAGCAAAUGGCAUUAUUUUGUUCUUCUUUAUGGCCAAGUAGUAAUCCAUUGUGUAUAUAUACCAUAUCUCCUUAAUCCAUUCACCUGUUGAUGGACAUUUAGGUUUUUUCCUACUCUUAGCUAUUGUGAAUAGUGCUGCAGUGAACAUAGGGGUGCAUGUAUCUUUUUCAAAGAAAGUUUUGUCUAGAUAUAUGCUGAGGAGUAGGAUUGCUAGAUCAUAUGGUAGUUCUAUAUUUAGUUUCUGAGGUACCUCCAUACUGUUUUCCAUAAUGGUUGUACCAAUUUACAUUCUCACCAACAGUGUAGGAGGAUUCACUUUUCUCCAUAUCCUCUCCAGCAUUUGUUAUUUGUAGACUUGUUAAAUGAUGGACAUUCUGACUGGUGUGAGGUGGUACCCCAUAGUAGUUUUGAUUUGCAUUUCUCUAAUAAUUAGUGAUAUUCAGCAUUUUUUCAUUUACCUGUUGGCCAUCUGUAUAUCUUCUUUGGAGAAAUGUCUAAUCAGGUCUUGUGCCCAUUUAUCAAUUAGGUGGUUGCUUCUUUUGUUGUUGAGUUGUAUAGGUUAUUUGUAUAUUUUAGAGAUUAAGCCCUUCAUAGUUGUAAUAUAUGAAACUAUUUUAUCCCAUUCCGCAAAUGGCUCUUGUGUGUGUGUGUGUGUGUGUGUGUGUGUGUGUGUGUGUGUGUGUGUGUGUGUCUGUGUGUGGUUUCCUUUGCUGUGCAAAAUCCUUUCAUUUUGAUUAGGUCCCAUUGGUUUAUUUAUUUUUUUUAUUUCUGUUACCUUGGGAGACUCACCUGAGAAACAUUUGUAAGGUUGAUGUCAGAGAAUGUUUUGCCUAUGUUCUCCUCUAGGAGUUUCAUGGUGUCUUGUCUUAUGUUUAAGUCUUUAAGCCAUUUGGAUUUAUUUUGGUGCAUGGUGUAAGGGUAUGUUCUAGUUUCACUGAUUUACAUGCAACUGUCCAGUUUCUUAGCACCACUUGCUGAAAAGACUGUCUUAUUCCCAUUUUAUAUUCUUGCCUCCUUUGUCAAAGAUUAAUUGACCAUAGGUUCCUGACUUGGUUUAUUGGUUCUCUAUUCUGUUCCAUUGGUCUCUAUGUCUGUUUUGGUACCAGGACCACACUUUCUUCAUGACUGUAGCUUUGUAAUAUUGUCAGAAGUCUGCGAGAGUUAUGCCUCCUUCUUGGCUUUUGUUCCUCAGGAUUGCUUUGGUAAUUCUGGGUCUUUUAUGGUUCCAUAUAAAUUUUGGGGUUGUUUGUUCUAGUUCUGUAAAAAAUGUUACGGGUAAUUUGAUAAGGAUCACAUUUAAUCUGUAGAUUGCUUUGGGUAUUAUGGCCAUUUUAAAAAUACUUAUUCUUCCUAUCCAGCAGUAUGGAAUAUCUUUCCAUUUCUUUGAAUCCUCUUUCAUUUCCUUCAUUAAUGUUUUGUAGUUCUUAGCAUAUAAGUCUUUCACUUCCUUAGUCAGGUUUAUUCUAGGUAUUUAAUUUUGGGGAGUGCAUAUUAAAAGCUAUUGUAUUUUUAUAUUCAUUUUCUAAUACACUAUUAUUGGUAUACAGAAAUGCAACCAAUUCUCAAUGUUAAUCAUGUAUCCUACUACUUUGCUGAAUUCAUUGAUCAGUUCAAGUAGUUUUUGUGUGGAGUCCUUAGGUUUUUCAGUAUAUAGGCUCAUGUCAUCUGCAUACAGUGACAAUUUUACCUCUUCUCUUCCAAUCUGAAUACCUUUUAUUUCUUACAUUUGUCAGACUUCUUUGGCUAGGACUUUCAAUACUCUGUUGAAUAAAAGUGAGAGUGGGCAUCUUUGUCUUAUUCCACAUUUUACUGUGGAGGCUUUCAGCUUUUGCCCAUUGAGUAUUAUAUUUGCUGUGGGUUUCUCAUAAAUGUCAUUUGUUAUGUUAAAGUAUAUUCCCUCUAUACCCACUUUGGUAAGAGUUUUUAUCAAUGAAUGGAUGUUGGAUUUUUUAAAUGCUUUUUCUGCAACUAUUGAGAUAAUCCUGUGGAUUUUACUUUUCUUUGGUUAAUGUGGUGUAUGACGUUGAUGUUGAACCAUCCUUGUGCACCUGGGAUGAAUCCCACUUGGUCGUGGUGUAUGAUCUUUUUUAGAUGUUGUUGGAUUCAGAAGACUAAAAUAUUGUUGAGAAUUUUUUCAUCUAUAUUCAUCAAAGAUAUUGGCCUAUAAUUUUCAUUUUUGGUAGUAUUUUUGUCUGGUCUUGGUAUUAGGGUGAUAGUGGCUUCAUAGCAUAUCUUUAGGAGUGUUUCUUCUUUUUCAACCUUUUGGAAAAGUUUAAGAAGAAUGAGUAUAAGUUUUUUGUAUGGUAGAAUUUGCCUGAGAAGUCAUCUGGUCCUGGACUUUUAUUUGUGGGGAGUGUUUUUAUGACAUAUUCAAUUUCAUUUCAAAUGAUCAGUCUGUUCAAUUAAUAUAUUUCUUCUUAAUUCAGUUUUGGUGGGCUGUAUGUCUAUAGAAAGUGGUCCAUUUCUUCUAGGUUGUCAAAUUUGUUAGCAUACAAUUGUUCAUAGUAUUCUCUCAAGGUUUUUUGUAUUUCUGUAGUAUCCAUUGAGAUUUCUCCUUUUUCAUUUCUUAUUUUGUUGAUUUGAGUUCUUUCUCUCCUCUUCUUAGUGAGUCUGGCCAGAGGUUUGUCAGUUUUGUUUACCCUUUCAAAGAAACAGCUCUUGGUUUCACUCAUUUUUUUCCACCUUUUUUUUUUUUUUUAAAUCUCUAUCUUAUUGAUUUCCUCUCUGAUCUUUAUGAUUUCCUUCCUUCUGCUAACUUUAGGUUUUGUUUGUUCUUUUUCUAAUUCAUUUAGGUCAUGGGUUAAGUUGUCAAUUUGAGAUUUUUCUUCUUUUUUGAGGAAGGCCUG
rnacentral:lncRNA from 1 species